UCAAAGUGUUUCUUUUUCAGCUGAGACGCCGUUAUGUUGCUGUUGGGAGAAAAUAAUAAUAAAAACUCCAACUCCAGGCAGAACCGGUGAGAUUAAUGAAGUCCAGCAUGGAGUGCUGAGUAAAAGAGUGAAAUUAAUUCCAGCAGAAGAGAUCCACGUCUGCAGGAAUCAGUGAGUCCAUGAGCUGUGUCCAUACACUAAUAUUCAAAAAUGGAGAGCUGUGACCUGGACACAGAUAAUGUGACCCCACCCUCAGAAAAGUGUGAACUCCAGAGAAAGAGAUCAGACUCUCCAGAAUCCAGCUGUGUCUCCAUGAAGAGUGAUCGGUCUAUUGAUCAACCUUGGAACUUUAAAAGUGGAAACCCCUCACCUGUAGACAGUGAACUGCAGAGAAGGAGAUCAGACUCACCAGAACCCAGCUGUGUCUCCAUGAAGAGUGAUGCGUCUAUGGAGCCUCCUUUUGGCUUUCAAAGUGGAGACCCCUCAUCUGUACACAGUGAACUCCAGAUAAAGAGAUCAGACUCACCAGAACCCAGCUGUGUCUCCAUGAAGAGUGAUGCGUCUAUGGAGCCUCCUUUUGGCUUUCAAAGUGGAGACCCCUCAUCUGUACACAGUGUUUUACAGAAGUCAGGAGACGGAAAAGAAAAGAUCUUCAUCACAGAUACAGGACACGCCCCAGAAUCUGCUGCUGGAAAUGAAGUCCAGAAAAAGUUCAAAUUAAAUCUGCUGAAGAAGUUUCAGUGUUUAAAUGGAGUGAUAAUAAAGCAGGAAAACCGAGUGCUCCUGAAUGAGAUCUACACAGAGCUCUACAUCACAGAGGGAGACAGUGGAGACGUCAAUAAAGAACAUGAGGUGAGACGGAUCGAGGCAGCGUCCAGGAGAAAAUCAACAGAGGAAACACCAAUCAAAUGCAAUGACAUCUUUAAACCCUUAUCUGAAGAAGACGAACCCAUCAGAACUGGACUGACAGAGAUCUUAUCUGAAGAAGACGAACCCAUCAGAACUGUAGUGACAAAGGGAGUGGCUGGUAUCGGAAAAACAGUCUCUGUGCAGAAGUUCAUUGUGGACUGGGCUGAAGGGAAAGCAAAUCAGGACGUCCCCCUCAUAUUUCCACUUCCUUUCAGAGAGCUGAAUCUGAUGCAGGACCAAAAACUGAGUCUGAUGGAGCUCCUUCAUGUCUGUUUUAAGGAAACAAAGGAAACCGAAAUGUCCAGGUUGGAAAAGAUUCUGUUCAUUUUUGAUGGAUUGGACGAGUGUCGUUUCCCUCUGGAUUUCCAGAACACAGUGAGCGUGUGUGAUGUAACUGAAUCAGCAUCAGUGCAUGUGCUGCUGAUAAACCUGAUCAAAGGGAAUCUGCUUCCCUCUGCUCUCAUCUGGAUCACCUCCCGACCAGCAACAGCUGAUCAAAUCCCCUCUGAGUACGUCCACCGAGUCACAGAGGUACGAGGGUUCAAUGACCCACAGAAGGAGGAGUACUUCAGGAAGAGGAUCAAUGAUCAGAGCCUGGCCGAGAACAUCAUCACACACCUGAAGUCAUUAAGAAGCCUCUACAUCAUGUGUCACAUCCCAGUCUUCUGCUGGAUUUCAGCCGCUGUUCUUGAGAGAAUGUUGGGUGAAGCAGAGAGUGGAGAGAUCCCCAAGACUCUGACUCAAAUGUACACACACUUCCUCAUCAUUCAGACAAACGUCAUCAGAGAAAAAUACUCAAAGAAGCAGGAGAGUGAUGAAGAAAUGCUUCUCAAACUGGGAAAACUGGCUUUUCAGCAGCUGAAGAAAGGCAACCUGAUCUUCUAUGAGGAAGAUCUGCGAGAGUGUGGCAUUGAUGUGACAGAAGCAGCAGUGUACUCAGGUGUGUGUACGCAGAUCUUCAGAGAGGAGGUUGGGCUUCACCAGAGUAAAGUGUACUGCUUUGUUCAUCUGAGCAUUCAGGAGCAUCUCGCAGCUCUGUAUGUGCAUCUGACUUUCAUGAAGGAAAAGAGAAAAGUUGUUGAUCAGACUAAGUCCUUUAAGACAAUUUCAGAUGUACACAGGAGUGCUGUAGAUCAGACCUUAAAAAGUCAGACUGGACAUCUGGAUCUGUUCCUCCGCUUUCUUUUGGGUCUCUCACUGGAGUCCAAUCAGAAACUCUUACAUGCCUUAGUAACACAGACAGGAAGUAGCUCUCAGAGCAAAGAGGAAACAGUUCAGUACAUUAAGGAGAAGAUCAGUGAAGAUCUUCCUGCAGAAAAAUCCAUCAAUCUGUUCCACUGUCUGAAUGAACUGGGUGAUGAUUCUCUAGUGGAGGAAAUCCAACGCUACCUGAAAUCUGGAAAACAAAGUGAACUCUCUCCUUCACAGUGGUCUGCUCUGGUGUUUGUGUUACUGACUUCAGCACAGGAGCUGGAGGAGUUUGACCUGAGUAAAUAUAUCAGUACAGAGAAGAUACCAGAUUGGGUUCUUGUGAAGGUGAUGCCUGUGAUUGCAGCAUCCAGAAAAGCAAUUAUCAGUUGCGAUAAAAUUGAAUGGAGAAGCGCUAAAGCUCUGGUCUCAGUGCUCAACUCAGAAACCUCCAGUCUGAGAGAACUGCAUCUGACUGUGAAGACACUGGAUCUGACUGGGAAUAAACUUGAAGACUCAGGAGUGAAGCGUCUCUGUGCUGUACUGGAGAAUCCUCACUGUAAAGUGGAGACACUGAAGUUGUGUGGUUGUGGUGUCUCAGAUGAAGGCUGUGCUGCUCUGAGUUCCACUCUGAGAUCAAACCCUUCACACCUGAGAGAACUGGAUCUGACUAAUAAUAAACUGGGAGACUCAGGAGUGAAGCAUCUCUGUGCUGGACUGGAGAAUCCUCACUGUAAACUGGAGAAACUGGGGUUGUGUGAUUGUGGUGUCUCAGAUGAAGGCUGUGCUGCUCUGAGUUCAGCUCUGAGAUCAAUCCCCUCACACCUGAGAGAACUGAAUCUGACUGGGAAUAAACUAGAAGACUCAGGAGUGAAGCGUCUCUGUGCUGGACUGGAGAAUCCUCACUGUAAACUGGAGACACUGUGGUUGUAUGAUUGUGGUGUCUCAGAUGAAGGCUGUGCUGCUCUGAGUUCAGCUCUGAGAUCAAACCCCUCACACCUGAGAGAACUGGAUCUGACUAAUAAUAAUCUGGGAGACUCAGGAGUGAAGCGUCUCUGUGCUGGACUGGAGAAUCCUCACUGUAAACUGGAGAAACUGGGGUUGUGGGGUUGUGGUGUCUCGGAUGAAGGCUGUGCUGCUCUGAGUUCAGCUCUGAGAUCAAACCCCUCACACCUGAGAGAUCUGAGUCUGAAUAAUAAUAAUCUGGGAGACUCAGGAGUGAAGCGUCUCUGUGCUGGACUGGAGAAUCCUCACUGUAAACUGGAGACACUGGGGAUCAGUUGUGAUGCAAUUAAAGGGAGAAGCGCUGAAGCUCUGGUCUCAGUGCUCAACUCAGAAACCUCCAGUCUGAGAGAACUGCAUCUGACUGUGAAGACACUGGAUCUGUCUGGGAAUAAACUAGAAGACUCAGGAGUGAAGCGUCUCUGUGCUGUACUGGAGAAUCCUCACUGUAAACUGGAGACACUGGGGUUGUGGGGUUGUGGUGUCUCAGAUGAAGGCUGUGCUGCUCUGAGUUCAGCUCUGAGAUCAAACCCCUCACACCUGAGACACCUGAAUCUGAAUAAUAAUAAUCUGGGAGACUCAGGAGUGAAGCGUCUCUGUGCUGUACUGGAGAAUCCUCACUGUAAACUGGAGACACUGGGGUUGGGUGGUUGUGGUGUCUCAGAUGAAGGCUGUGCUGCUCUGAGUUCAGCUCUGAGAUCAAACCCCUCACACCUGAGACAACUGAAUCUGACGAAUAAUAAUCUGGGAGACUCAGGAGUGAAGCGUCUCUGUGCUGUACUGGAGAAUCCUCACUGUAAACUGGAGACACUGUGGUUGUGUGAUUGUGGUGUCUCAGAUGAAGGCUGUGCUGCUCUGAGUUCAGCUCUGAGAUCAAACCCCUCACACCUGAGACACCUGAAUCUGACUAAUAAUAAACUAGAAGACUCAGGAGUGAAGCGUCUCUGUGCUGUACUGGAGAAUCCUCACUGUAAACUGGAGACACUGUGGAUCAGUUGUGAUACAAUUGAAUGGAGCAGCGCUGAAGCUCUGGUCUCAGCACUCAACUCAGAAACCUCCAGUCUGAGAGAACUGCAUCUGACUGCGAAGACACUGGAUCUGACUGGGAAUAAACUAGAAGACUCAGGAGUGAAGCGUCUCUGUGCUGUACUGGAGAAUCCUCACUGUAAACUGGAGACACUGGGGUUGUGGGGUUGUGGUGUCUCAGAUGAAGGCUGUGCUGCUCUGAGUUCAGCUCUGAGAUCAAACCCCUCACACCUGAGAGAACUGGAUCUGACUUAUAAUAAUCUGGGAGACUCAGGAGUGAAGCGUCUCUGUGCUGUACUGGAGAAUCCUCACUGUAAACUGGAGACACUGGGGUUGUGUGGUUGUGGUGUCUCAGAUGAAGGCUGUGCUGCUCUGAGUUCAGCUCUGAGAUCAAACCCCUCACACCUGAGAGACCUGAAUCUGAAUAAUAAUAAUCUGGGAGACUCAGGAGUGAAGCGUCUCUGUGCUGUACUGGAGAAUCCUCACUGUAAACUGGAGACACUGGGGUUGUGUGGUUGUGGUGUCUCAGAUGAAGGCUGUGCUGCUCUGAGUUCAGCUCUGAGAUCAAACCCCUCACACCUGAGAGACCUGAAUCUGACUAAUAAUAAUCUGGGAGACUCAGGAGUGAAGCGUCUCUGUGCUGUACUGGAGAAUCCUCACUGUAAACUGGAGACACUGAGGAUCAGUUGUGAUACAAUUGAAUGGAGCAGCACUGAAGCUCUGGUCUCAACGCUCAACUCAGAAACCUCCAGUCUGAGAGAACUGCAUCUGACUGUGAAGACACUGGAUCUGACUGGGAAUAAACUAGAAGACUCAGGAGUGAAGCGUCUCUGUGCUGUACUGGAGAAUCCUCACUGUAAAGUGGAGACACUGAGGUUGUGUUAUUGUGGUGUCUCAGAUGAAGGCUGUGCUGCUCUGAGUUCAGCUCUGAGAUCAAACCCCUCACACCUGAGACACCUGAAUCUGAAUAAUAAUAAUCUGGGAGACUCAGGAGUGAAGCGUCUCUGUGCUGUACUGGAGAAUCCUCACUGUAAACUGGAGACACUGGGGUUGCGUGAGUGUGGUGUCUCAGAUGAAGGCUGUGCUGCUCUGAGUUCAGCUCUGAGAUCAAACCCCUCACACCUGAGAGAUCUGGAUCUGAGGAGGAAUAAAAUAGGAGACUCAGGAAAGAAGCUGCUCUCUGCUCUUAAGGAUGAUGAACAUUACAAACUACAGAAACUCAGAUUUUGAUGAACAUCUGUGUGUGUGAUGAAGACUCUGAUGGUGUUCCUGCGUUUCCAUGUUGGGGAACAGACAACACAUUCAUAAACCCAUCAGUCAUUUAGUUCUAACAAAUGAAAGAGACUCAGAGACGUGGUCAGUGUGUGUUCAUGGUGCACAGUGAAUCAGACUGCACACAAUUCUACACUGAAUGUGGAACAACUUGUGAUCUGCAUGAAACUGCCUGGACCUCAGUCCUUUAAAAACCCUGAAAGAGCAGGUGAAAAAGCACAGGGACUCGAGCUGAACCCAGUCAGUGGAAGAGGGAGCUGAAAUGGACAGGAACAAACAGUGAACCAAACAGUGGUCCAGUCUAAUUUUUUUUUUUUUGAGCAAGCUUCUUCAAGCUUUGAAGAUGAUUUAAGGGCUAAAGUAGGUACAGGGGAGGCACACUCAGAGCCCCGACCGUCCCCGAGCACACCAGGCAGUGUCAGUAAUACAGGGGUCGGUUAAAAAAGAAAAAAGGCACCAAAGUGAAAGUGUUGCCAGCUUGCAAGCGACCUAAGGGAGCCAUGUUUUGGGUUACAGCCCCUGGGUAUUUUUGCCCUCAAAAAUAGUAAGCGAUUAAUAGAAAACAAAUGACUUGGCUGUCAUCUGGGAUUUUGAAUGUUGUAAUAUUGUAAUAUGUUCAAGGGUGUGUCUUUCUGGUUCUAAAGGAGAGAGAUGCUAGUGAGAAAUUAUAUAUUUUUAUUAAACUGAUGAUUCAUUUUACUAGUGACAUUAAGUCAGUUAAGAUGUGCCUCAGUUUCCUGAGACAUUGAGUGUUGAUGAUUAACUUAAUAAUGAGACAGAAACUGAAGUGAACUACAUAUAUUAAAAAAAAAAAGCAGAGCCAAAAUCAGUAAUAAAGAUGUCAUAACCUGUGAAUGUGUGUAGGUGAUAAUAUUACUUUGGAAAGUUAGACAUUCCCAGACUCUUCUCAACUCUGUUCAAUUGUAAAUUAAGUUUUGUGUUGAAGUAAAGGCUAAAGGGAGUCCUAAUACCUCUUUAGAAUAAUUCCCUGCUAAAAUAACCUUCAGUAAGCUCAAACUAAAGAGGUUUAUUUUAGCUUGAUGGUGCCCAGGGGCCCAAAAUCAACUCUCUCUUUUUAGAGUCUGGAGUGGAGCGUAAAUUUUAUCUGUAAUGGAGAGGCCGAGCUGGAUCUGUACAAAUAUUUGAAUUGUGCCAGUUUGGUUGGUAUAAACCUGUAUUAAGUCCACUUUGAUAAAUCAGUAAUGAAGAAAAAAUACAGACUAAGAAAAAGCGAAGAAUAUUUUUCACUUUAUUUUUCAAGGAAAAAAGUGGAGAAUGUUUUUCAGAACCCAGGGGGAACCCUGUUUUUGUACAGUUGCUGUUGCAAGAAUGGUCACUUGUCAGAUGAAUAUAGGUUCAUAUAUUAUAACUUGUAUAGUACAAUGCCAAAUGAAAAUAACUGUGAUAAAUUAAUUCAGAUAUUCUUUUUAACAAAUCUGAAAAAUCCUUUGAACUCUGAACCUCCUUAAUAUAAAGGGGAUAUCACAUACUUUUUUAUUUAUUUUUUAUUUAUUUGGUUGAUAUAAACCUGUAUUAAGUCCACUUUGAUAAGUCAGUAACUAUGAAAAAAUACAGACUAAGAAAAAAUUAAGAAUAUUUUUCAGAACCCAGGGGGAACCCUGUUUAUUUGUUUUUGUACAAUUGCUGUUGCAAGAACUGUCACUCGUCAUCAGAUGAAUAUAGGUUCAUUUAUUAUAACUUAUAUAGUGCAGUGCCGAAUGAAAAUACUUUGAUAAAUUAAUUCAUAUAUAUUUUUUUCAAAAUAUCUGAAAAAUCUUUUGAACUCUGAACCUCUUUAAUAUAAUGGGGAUAUCACAUGCUUUUUAUAUAUAUCGUGUGUAUGUAUGUAUUGGUUGCGAAUGCUUAAAUGUUAGCUGAUUUUGUAAACAUCAAAAAAAUAUAUGAAGUUUUGUAUUGUCAAAUUUAUUUUUGAUUCUGUUAUGGCAGUUCUGUUUUAGUAUUGAUUACCAUCACUUCAGACUCUAUUUUGCUGUUUACAGUAAAUUGGAAAUUCUUCCCCAAAUGCCUUGAAACUGUGUCUCCGAUAACCCUGGUUUUCCAUUUUUCUCGUCUGUGGUCCACAGUGAAGGGCUUCAGCGGUUUUAAUUGUACCCUCCUGUUCUCUGCCUCGUACCCUUUUAUUCCCCUAAACUUUUGAGACCACCGAGGAUCUAAAAAGUAUAUUUACUUUCUUAAAGUAAAGUGUCUUAAAAGUAUAUUUUCACCAAACUGUCCCAUAAGUGACAUUUCAGUUUGUUCUGAUAAUUAAAUUAAGAGGGAAAUAAAUGAUUGCCAUGAAUCAAAACUGAAACUGAAACUUAAAUAAAAAUGAAUAAAAAGCUGUGAUUUUGUGUGUGUGUGUGUGUGUGUGUGUGUGUUGGACCUGUAAUAGAUGCUCUGGUUUGAGGUCACUGGUGUCAGAGGUCAGCUCUUCCAGACAGAACAGGAUUUCAUGGAUCUGAUCCACGAAAAGGAUCACAGACAGACAGACAGACAGAUCCUGUGUCUGAAAUCACUCCCUAAUCACUAUAUAAUAAGGAGGCGGGUGAGAGUGAGCGCCCCCUGCUUUCCACCCCGGUGUGGGCUCCACCCUUGAGCCACACCACCAGCUCUCACAGGGAGCAGGAACUGGAGUGACUGGUGCAGGUGCUGCAGAGCCACAGGCUGCAGGACAACUCCAGCACUCCACUGUGUGAAUAUCCACUCUGUGAGAAGGUCCUGUCCUCAGCCGUAGGUUUAGUGACUCACCUGGGCAGGUCUCACAUCAACAGAGCUGCUGUUCCACUGACUGGGUUUGGUUUCAACACAAAACCAUAAUGGGCUCCAACCUCCUGCUAGCCUCUACAGCAGGGCUAAAUCCAGUAGAUGGCGGUAAUACACUUUGCCUGUAAACUGCCAUAAAACCUGACAGAAGAAGUUUUCCAGAAGUGAAAGUGUUUUUCCUUCAGCCUCCGGGCCAUUCUGUUGCUGUUGGAAAAAUAAAGAAAAUCUCCAACUCCAGGCAGAAGCGGUGAGAUGAAUGAAGCCCAGCAUGGAGUGCUGAGUAAAAGAGUGAAAUUAAUUCCAGCAGAAGAGAUCAGUGUCUUCAGGAAUCAGCAGUGAGUCCAUGAGCUGUGUCCAUACACUAAUAUUC